GUAAAAAUUGAUUUUAAACAGCGGUUGACAUGCUUCGAAGUACGGUAAUGGAAUAUUUAGAAUUUUAUUGUCACGAAUUGCGCCAUGCGCGCGACACUUCUUUACCAUUUCGGAUAGUGUCUGGAACGCACGAACAAAACGCCGCUAUUCGGAUAUAACGAUGGAUUAUUUUGGACCAAACCAACAUUUGUUAUUGAAGUAGCAGUCCUGGGUGUGCAUUCUGAUGAAGACAACAAAAGGGUCCGGUGUGAACCCCUGGGUGCCCACCACAUGGCCAAGGGGCCCCACAAGGUUGAGUCCUUAGUCCCCUCCUGUAUUUCCUGUAUACCCACAACUGUGUGACCUCCGACUCCGUCAUCAAGUUCGCUGACGACACAACAGCAGUAGCCCUGAUUACCAACACUGAUGAGACAACCUACAGGGAGGAGGUAGGCACUCUGACGGCGUGGUGCCAGGUGAACAACCUCUCCCUCAAUGUUAACAAAACAAAGGACCUGAUUGUGGAAUACAGGAGGAACCAGGCUGGAUACGUCCCCAUCCUCAUCAACAGGGCUGCUGUGGAAAUGGUCAAUAACUUUAAAUUCCUCUGCAUAUACAUCUCGGAGAAGCUCAAAUGGUCUAACCACACAGACACCGUGAGGAAGAAGGCACAACAGCGACUCUUCAACCUCAGGAUACUUUAGAAAUUAGGCCUGUCCCCGAGGGCCCUCACAGUGUUCUACAGGAGCACCAUCGAGAG
rnacentral:lncRNA from 1 species